rnacentral:lncRNA from 1 species
AGUCUCAAUCAUUGUUGCAGGAGUUUAUUGAUUUUAUUAAGAACUCUAAAGUUGUUUUGCUGGAAGAUGUAGCGUCACACUUUGGCUUAAAAACGCAAGAAGUUAUAGAUCGUCUUGAAAACUUGCAAGAAAUGGGAAGAAUUACUGGUGUUAUGGAUGACCGUGGAAAAUUUGUCUAUAUUUCGGAGGAGGAACUUAAAAAUUUUGCAAAGUUCAUAAAACAACGUGGUCGUAUAUCAAUAGCCGAACUUGCUGAAUCAAGUAAUUCUUUAAUAAAACUGGAUGAGGCAAAUAGAAAAAAUGUACUUAUUGAGGCACCAGCUUAGUUUUGUUUUAUUUUUAUUUAUUUUUUUUGUUCUUCAUCUUUUGUUCUUUUAUCUUUCGACAUAUAGACAGAACAAUGAAAUUAUUUAAUAGAAAAUAUGAAAUAUUU